rnacentral:lncRNA from 10 species
UCUGGAUACGUACAGUAUGUAGUCUCUGUAUGAUUUCUUUGGCUAUAAACAGCAUUCAUGCUUCCUGUGAUUUAUUUAGAGGGUUAAGGUGUGGUUAUUAGUGAAGGCAGUUGUAAAGUUGUGCUGGGGACUGAAAAGACAGAUGGCCCAGGCUUCAGGCACUAGUGGUAGCAGUGAUGGGUUGAGUAUGCCUAUGUUUGUGCCCCAGAGUCGUGUGUGUUGGCACCUAUAUUGGCAGUUACUGGCAAGCUGAUUCUUGAGCCUCCAGGUGGACAUUGCAUAGGUAUCAGUAGUGGCAGCAAUGAACAGGCAAUCAGGACCCUAGGCAGGUGGCAUAGAGUGGGCAAUAGCAGUAGCAGUGGAAGCAUAACCCUUUCAGUCCUGAGUGGUGUAGGCCACUGUUGUUGCGGGCUGUGUUGAUGAUGUAGGUUUUUCUGCCCUCUGUAUAAGCAGUGCCGCACCUCCGCUGAGAGGGAGUGGAGGGACCCUGCCGUUUGUGCCCAUGCCCAGGCAUAGAGGCUAUGCCACUAUUGGGGUCAUAGUUGCCAUUCAGAACCACAGACCAGCAGCCAUCUAGUUCUCCCACCUCAGCCUUCAGAGGCAGCAAGACUCUGCUCUGGCUAGAUCCAAGAAGAGAAGAAACAAGGGAUCCCUGCCAUGUAGACCACACAGCUCAAGUUCCCAUUUGUAUCAGAAGAACUUUACAAUGUAUCUACAGGUAAGAGAAAGGGAAUUGAAAACAACAACAACAAAAGCAACUACAACAAGGAAGACUCAUAGAGGAAGUGACGAAAAAGAUGCCACAGAAACAGAAGUUCUGCAUGCGAGAGGCAAGAGGUAACUUAAAGCAGAGAUUUAAAAACAAAGCAAAAAAAAAAAAAACCCUACACAUAUUCUAUGCUCAAAACUUAAUCUUCUUUCUUUUUCUGUCAACCCUUCAUCUUUUUUCUUUAUUUUUCAGGACUUGCUGAGCUGUUGAAUUAACACAAAAAUAAUACAUCAAUACAAUAGCUCAGUAAAGUCAAUAAAGACUUGAUGUUUAUCCCUAUCUAGGAUAAAUAGUUAUAAACACUAACAUAAGUUUUCUAGAGGCAAUUUGUUUUCUAGUAUUUUCUAAUACAUCAUUUGUUAAAACAAAAAUUCCUAAUAUGAGCUGGAUACUGUAUUCGGCCCUGGAAUACAAGAGUGAGGUUGAUGAACUCAAAGGCCACUCUCUAGGCCUUCCUUUGCUUUGUUUAAUUUUUAGAAUUUUUGCUAUCUGAAAAUAUAUUAUUGAUUUAAUUGUUAAUAUGUCUUCACUCUUAGAAUAGAAACUUUAUGAAAGUAACAAUUUUAUUUUUUAAAAUUAUUGUCAUAUUCUCAAGUCUAGAACACUACCUUGUUUAGUAUAGGGACUUAAUAAAGAUUUUUUAAUUAAAUAAAUAAAUGACAAAAUAAGCCCUUGUUAUGUACAGGCUAAUGGAGCUUUUUAGAGAAUCUAAUGUGGUAUGCCACAAAAUGAUGUGGUAAAUGCCAUGACACAGAAAAUGCAGACAGCUUUGCUUCACACAGUAGUUCUUCCUGUUUUAAACACAGAGAGGUAACAGCCUUUUUGGAAGAAUUAUAAUCCCAUAGAAAUGAAUCCAUAUUUGAUUCUCAUAAACUAAAACACUCAGUGAGAGAUAUGGUUGGAAGGAGAGAGAAACUGUCACUUUUCAAAUCAUAUGAGAGGCAUCAGUGGGACCAGUAGGGUUAAAUUUAUUACCAUGCACAAUAUCGAUUGGAUUAUCAAGUAUAUGCUACACAUAAUAUAGUUAGAAACUAUAAAUAUAUAUAUAUAUUUAAUCAAGAUUUAUUAUAUUUUUGGAAUAAUCUAAUUGGUCUUACAUAUUUUAUAUUGACGUUUCCUUUUUUGUUAUUUUGCUGAACAAAUUCAUAUGUAAAAAUUUUAACACAGUAGAUCUAAAGCAUACUGUCCCAAUUCUUGCUAGACAAGCUACAUAUAUAAGUAAUGAUAUAGGUUAAUAUGACUCCUCAGACACUGAAAUUAAUUUGAAAAUAAGACGUAACCAUUGUUUUCAAUUUACUUCCACCCCAAUUUUUUUAACAAUUAGAUAUUAAAAGGAUCCUGCUUCUUACAAAUAUCCAAUACCCACUAUGACAAGAAAGAGAAUUAUCUCAUUUGUAUCAUCACUCUGUAGAUCCAAUUGAUAAAUAAAUGGGUCAUUUAAUGGAGGAAGAACAAUAAAUACAAUAAAUGUAGUAAAAAUACUAAAAUUAACUUCUAAAAAUUUAGUGUUGUGCAAACCUGUAGAAUAAAAUGUAGGUGAAUAUCUUUUUAAUCUUGAGGUAAAAAGAGUUUUUAUUCUGUGUACAGAAAACCCUAACUUUAAGAGGAAAAUGCAGCAUUAAAUUAAGUAUUUACACUUAUCCAGAAAUACCUUAAUAAAAAUAAAAUGUGAGCUAUAUUCUGGAAAAAGAUUGUUGCAAUACUUUUAAUCAGCAAAAAGUUUAGUUUCCAGAAUUAGAAGAAAAUAGUUUCUAAACAUCAAGAAAGGUAUAAGAUAUAAAAAAAUAGAAAAAUGCACAACCGAUUUAAAUAGGCAUUUCAUUAAAGAGAGAUAGAAAAAUGAAAAAAGAAACAAAUAUAGUACUUGACAAAAAUUCUCCGAGAAACACGUGUGUCUAUCUUUUGAAAUUCAGCAGUUAUGUACCACAUUUAAUAAUGUCAUUCUGAACAUAAACUCUAGAUUUUUUUUAUGCAUAUUCCCUAAAUAACUUGUACACAGGUGUUUUUAAAAUUUGACAAUAGUGCUCCAAGUAGAAACAAAAAAGUACAUGCAACAAAAUGGAAAAAUCUUUGUAAAUAAAAAUUAGUGAAAAAAGUCAACUGUCAAUAGAGUAUGAUAUCAUUUGUAAAAUCAUCAAAAUCAAGCAAAGGAAAACCAUAUAUUGUUUAUACAUAUAUAGCAUAUAUGUGAUAAAGCUGUUCAAAAUUCAGAUAAGGAUGAACUUUGGAUGGAGAGAGCAUAGAAGGCACAGAUUUUUAGACAGAUGUUAUUUUUUUGAUGAUGUUCUACUUCUUAUGCUGAGUCCUGGGUUCACAGGUAUUCAUUUCAUAUUCUAUAAUUAUAAUAAAGGUAGCAUCUAUGCUUUUGUUUGUAUCAAACUUCCCAUGCUAUUUUAAGAUCACAUUUUGUUAGUCAAGGUCCCAGAAGAAAGGAUUGACACAGUUAAUACAAUUUUGGAGACAGUUUAAUAAAAGUAAUAUCUACAAGAUUUGGGUAAUUUGAAAACCCUAAGCUCACAAUGCAGUUCCUAAAGUUAGUAAUAUUCUGGAACCAUUCCUAGACCUAAAGGUGUGAAGAGGGCAAGUAACAAUCACAUCUAUGGAACAGGGAAAACUAUGAGGAUAUGAAGGUUUAUGUGAAGAGUAGUAUUUGACAGAAGGUGAAAACGUGCAUGGAAAAUAUAAACCAGCCUUCAGUUAUCUCACAGGAAGAAAGCCAGAAGAAUAAAUAUUUCAAUCUCACUUGUCCUUCCUCCCAAUUUCUCCUGGAGCUCUGCACUAGCUAGAUCCAAGAAGAGAAGAAACAAGGGAUCCUUGCCAUGUAGGCCACACAGCUCAAGCUCCCAGAAAAGAGAACAAGGUGAAGUGUGGAGUACAUCCUUGCAGGAGCGAGUGGAAUAUUUCCAGCAUGUCUGGCAAUUUCAUAUAGUCAAAGCUCGCUGAAUAACUAUUGAUAUUCAAAACUUCCUUUUCAAAACUCAUUUUGCCUCUUCAGAAUGUAAUGUGUUUUGCAAAAGUUGCCAUAAUUCAACAGAAUAUAGAAUUAUAGCCAAUGUGGAAAGUGUUUAGGAAUAUAAGCUAAGACUUGGAAGAGUUCCUGAUUUCUAGAUCUUUAAUUUUUGUCUAUUAAGUUUCUAUGUCUUUCCCUAAAUUAAGAGGUGGCUCUAAGCAAGAAUGAAAAUGAACUAACUAUAGAUUAAAACUGUCCUAUUUAAUUAAAAAGAAAGUCACUUUUUCUAAAAUAGAAAAACUUUAUUGGUUUUUAUAAGGUAAAUUUAAAUUAGUCUUGCCCCAUGGCAGUCUAGAAAAAUUAGAUGUCUCAUUUAUCUUCAUAAAGACCGAACACUUUCAACAGAGCAACCAUUAUUUGCACAGAAAAUAAAGCUAUUAUUUUAUAACUAUGCUCCAGUAGUUGCCAAACAUCUUUAAAGUGACCUUACAAUUAAAUUGUUAUCUUUUUUAUGAACUUUCACAAUACACCCUUUGAUGUGAGCGUUGGACUGUUUCUUAGACGUGUUAUUUCUAUUUCCUUACAAUCUGCUUAGUAAAGAAGAGCACAUAGGGUUAAAUGAGGAAAAUACAGUUGUGAGAAUUCAAAAUUUGUUCUUUUAGUGUGAUUCUGCCUUUAUGCAGCUUGUUUGACUUACCUGGUGCUCACGUCAUCUUUAAAAGGAGGAAUUUGGACUAAGAUUCCUUUGAAUCCUAGGUUGCUAAACUGUUCUAACAACCAUACUGGUUUAAGUGUUUAACAGGACUCAGACUGACCUUGGCCCUAUUUUCUUUUAUUUUCUUCUUCUUUUUUUAAAACUAAAUAUUGCUUUAAAUUCUUUCAGUCAACAUUUUUUUAGAACCACAAACUAAGCAACUAUAAAUUAUAUUUAGUUAUUUACAGAAUGCAGGUUACGCCAUUAUUAGGAAUACAUGCAUUUGUGAGUCACUCAUAUUUGCUAUCAAAUUGCUAAUAUGAUAUAUAUAUAAAUAGUAUGAUUUAUAUCUCCUGUGCAUUUGUUACAUGUGUGUAUGUUCAGUAAAAUGUAAAAAUUUAUUUAAAAAUAUCAAUUUAUUGUGUUCAUAAAUUGAAAGACUCAAAUAGUACAUAUAUAUUAGAGUAACAGGAGAACUGCUGACAAUUCCAUGUGCUGACAAGAAUGUAGAGCAACAGAAACUCUCAUGCAUUACUGCUGAAAAUGCAAAAUGUUAUAGCCACUCUGGAAAAUAGUUUGGUAUUUCUUAUAAAUUAAAACAUAAAUGCACCAAAUGAUGCAGCAAUUUUACUUGUAGAUAUUUACUCUAAAGAAACGAAACCUUAUAUUCUCAAAGAAAAUGUGGCACAUAUACACCAUGGAAUAUUAUGCAGCCAUAAAAAGAAUGAGUUCUUGUCCUUUGCAGGGACAUGGAUGAAGCUGGAAACCAUCAUCCUCAGCAAACUAACACAGGAACAGAAAACCAAACACCGCAUGUUCUCACUCAUAAGUGGGAGUUAAACAGUGAGAACACAUGGACACAGGGAGGGGAACAUCGAGGGGUGGGGGAUAAGGGGAGGCAGAGCAGUAAGACAAAUACCUAAUACAUGUGGGGUUUAAAACCUAGAUGACUGGUUGAUAGGUGCAGCAAACCACCAUGGCACAUGUGUACCUAUGUAAAAAACAUGCACGUUCUGCACAUGUAUUUCAGAACUUAAAAAAAAAGAAAGAAAAAACAAAGAAAGCAUUUAUAUGGUGACUUUCUUCAUAAUUGCUCAAAACAGGAAACAAAACAAAUGUCCUUUAAUGGAAAAACAAAUGGUGAAGCAUCUGUAUAAUGAAAUUCAAUACAGCUAAAAUUAACUGAAAAGUUGGAUGACUCUCCAAAGCUGUAUAAUGAGCAAAGCAAGCCAGUCUAAAAAGGUCAUAUACAUUGUGAUUUCAUUUUUAUGACAUUUUCCAAACGACAAAGCUGUAGUGAUGGAGAAUUCAUUAUUGGUUGCCAGUAAGAGGAAGAUGUGGAUGCAAGGGAUAGCAAGAGUGAGUUAUUUUGGAUGAAGGAACAGUUUUGCAUUAUGAUUGUAAUAGUGGUUUACUAAAUCACUCCCUUCAUGAGGGGUGGGGAUUCCUAAGUCACUCCCCUCCAUGAGGGGCGGGGUUCUCAUAGAAAAUCUCUGAUAGGGCAGUGCAGAAGGGAAACGUGGGGUCUGAGCCCCCACACAAAGUCUCUACUAGGGCACUGCAUAGUAGGGCUAUGAGAAGAGGGCCACCGUCCUACAGACCCCAGAAUGGUAGAUCCAGUGACAGCUUGCACGGUGUGCCUGGAAAAGCUGCAGACACUCAACACCACCCCGUGAAAGCAGCCGGGAGAGAGGCUGUACCCUGCAAAGCCACAGGGGUGGAGCUGCCCAAAAUACUGGAACCCACGUCUUACAUCAGCGUGACCUGGAUGUGAGACCUGGAAUCAAAGGAGAUCAUUUUAGAGCUUUAAGAUUUGACUGUCUCAAUGGAUUUUGGACUUGUGAGGACUGUAACCCCUUUGUUUUGGCCAAUUUCUCCCAUUUGGAAUGGCUGUAUUUACCCAAUGCCUGGACCCCCACUGUAUCUAGGAAAUAACUAACCUGCUUUUGAUUUUACAGACACAUAGGUGGAAGGGACUUGGCUUGUCUCAGAUGAGACUUUGGAUUGUGGACUUUUGAGUUAAUGCUGAAUUAAGACUUUGGGGGACUGUGGGGAAAGCAUAAGGUUUUGAAAUGUGAGGAUGUGAGGUUUGGGAGGGGCCAGGGACAGAAUGAUAUCAUUUGGCUGUGUCCCCACCCCAAUCUCAUCUUGAAUUACCACAUGUUGUGGGAGGGACCAAAUGGGAUGUAAUUUAAUCAUGGGGACAAGUCUCUCCCAUUCUGUUCUCAUGACAGUGAAUAAGUCUCACAAGAUCUGAUGGUUUUAAAAAGAGGAAAUCACCUGCACAAGCUCCUCUCUUUGCCUGCCUCCAUCCACAUAAGGUGUGACUUGCUUCUCCUUGCCUUCUGCCAUUAUUGUGAAGCUUCCCCAGCCACGUGGAACUCUACUUCAUUUCCACCUUUUGUGUCCUUCAAACUUCCAAGGGACAGCUCCUCUAUUCAAAGGUGCUUUGUUCCUGAAGUCAGGAAGCACCUUGCAAGUAAAGGAUGAAUUUUAAAGAUUUUUUGAUUUUGGACAAUAUCCCUGGCCACCCAGAACCUCCUGAGUUCAACAUUACAGGUUCUCGCGGGCUGGAGUGAAGUGGCACAAUCAUAUCUCACUACAGCCUCAAACUCCUGGGCUCAGUUGAUCUUCCUGAGUUGCCUCCCGAGUUGCUGGUACUACUGGUGCAUGCCACCACACCUGGAUAAUUUAUUUUUUAAUCUUUUGUGGAGACUAUAUCUUACUCUGUUGCCCAGGCUGGAGUGCAGUGGCACAAUCAUGGCCUACUGCAAACUUGAACUUCUGGGCUCCAGUGAUCCUCCUGCCUCAGCCUCCUGAAUAGUUGGGACUAUAGGCAAGCAUCACCAUACCCAGUUGAUUUCCUCUUACUUUUUGUGAAUACAGGCUCUCACUAUUCUGGACAGGCCAGUCUCAAACUCCUGGGCUCAAGCAAUCCUCCCACUUUGGCCUCUCAGAUUGUUGGGAUUACAAGCGUAAGCCUCUGCACCUAGCCUGCAUUCUCACUUUUUAAAAAACAAGAGAGUAUCUACUUCCACAUUAAAUUACAUAGUGUAGAUUAUAAAUCUUUUUGAUCUUCAUACUGACAAAUGAAGAAAUAAAAUCUCAAAAUUUUGAUAUGCAUGUUUAUAAAUUAUGCUCUGCAUCCUUCUAUCUGAGAACUACUUGAAUUUACUUUUCUCUGCACUGUGGAACCAUAUCCUUUCUAUGUUUUUAAGUAGUUUGUUGUUAUUUUUAUAAUAUCGCAGUCCCUUAACUCUGGUAAAUUUUACAAAUACCCCUAAUAUUCCUCAUGUUUUUACUUAAAUUUCAGCUUUAUUUAUAAAAUAAAAUUUUGCCUGAGAGAAAGUAUUAAGUUUUGUGCUUCAAUUUAUGGUUUCUGGGCAGAAAAGAGUCUUCAUAUCUAGAAACAAUAUACUAUUCAUACAGAACAUAACUACAUGUAAAUUUGUAUAAGCACACAGCUUCAUGUCUUCUUUUGUACUUUUUUGACUUCCAAUUUUUACAUUUUAAAUACUUAAUUUAACAGGAAUGUUGGUAUAAAGCAGAAAUAUUUUUCCU